ensembl:lncRNA
AAAUUCUUCUGGUGAACUUAGUUCAGUUUUGAAGGGAAGGAAGUCGUUCCUGAUGGUUGGGGUCUCUGAAACUCUGAGGAUCGUGAGGAUUUCUGGCUGGGAAGAAAAAUGUGUCUGUGGCCAAUGGCUCUCGUUGCUGCAGUUGUCCAGCACUGUGUGUGUUAAGCUUUCUUCAGAUAGCUGUUUCUGUAAAGCUGCAUGUUCGCAUUUAGCAGGAAAUUGUUGGAUGCAAUAAAAGACAAUAUAUCUCACACUGUUUCUUUUUGUUAGCUGCUAUACGGAAGCCUGGCCCUGCUGCAGGGGGAUGUUAUUUUCUUAAGGGACUGCUCUUAUGAGAUCAGUGCAGAACAAGAUAGCUGUGGAAAAAUAACAUGGAGAGUGGAAAUUCCAGCUGCAAUUUCUCAUUUCAUUCUUGUGCCAUGGCUUAAACUGAUAGAAUACCAGAGAUGAAAGCUAAUUUUGGAUCAACAGUUGCAUGCCUCAUCACUGGAUAUGAAUCUCAUUUCAUUCUCCUCUGAUGUUUAGAAUCCAUAAUAAAUAAGUAAUUACCUGCCUAGUGUGGGAAAUUACACAUGAGACUCAGUCAUCUAGAGCUAGCAUCAGGUCUGCCAGUUCUUAAA